UCUUCAGUGAGGUACAUCCUUACCUGUUACUCCAAACAAGGAGUAUCAGAUCAUGAUGAAUGGAGAACUAUGAGAUAUUAAUCAUAUCUCAUAGUUCUCCAUUCAUCAUGAUCUGAU
ensembl:snoRNA U8 U8 small nucleolar RNA